GCGCCUGUAGCUCAGUUGGAUAGAGCAAUGGGCUUCGAACCCAGAGGUCGCCCGUUCGAAUCGGGCCAGGCGCG
rnacentral:tRNA from 1 species